CAGUCGCCACGGUAAUACGGAGGGUGCAAGCGUUAAUCGGAAUUACUGGGCGUAAAGCGCACGCAGGCGGCUUUUUAAGUCGGAUGUGAAAUCCCUGAGCUUAACUUAGGAAUUGCAUUCGAUACUGGGAAGCUAGAGUAUGGGAGAGGAUGGUAGAAUUCCAGGUGUAGCGGUGAAAUGCGUAGAGAUCUGGAGGAAUACCGAUGGCGAAGGCAGCCAUCUGGCCUAAUACUGACGCUGAGGUACGAAAGCAUGGGGAGCAAACAGGAUUAGAUACCCCUGUAGUCCCUGUCUCUUAUAA
rnacentral:rRNA from 1 species